UUUGAAUGUAAAUUUUGUUUAGAAAAUUUGCCAUCUCAAAUGUUGUAGAUGUAGUUCAUAUGAGCAUGAAUUUUGGAGCUAAAAUUUGGUGCCAUGUUUUUUGGGGAUUUUCGGCCAAAUCCAAAGGGUGAUUUUUUGGGUUCUUGUUUGACUUGUUAAAAGUGUUUUGAGGUGACUUUUGGAACCCCUAAGUACCCUAGGAUGUUAGCCCCAUUUUGAAUGGUGAAAAUUUGAGUUUUAUUGAGUGAAAAUGUUCAUGGAGCUCUUAUGGGUUUUCAUGGAUAUUCUUCAAUGUUCUUGAUGUUCUUGCCAAGAACAAAAAGGUUUGUUGUUUUGAUUCAAAGUUUUGAUUUAUUUCAUAAAGU
rnacentral:lncRNA from 1 species